rnacentral:rRNA from 1 species
UACGUAGGGUCCGAGCGUUGUCCGGAAUUACUGGGCGUAAAGAGCUCGUAGGUGGUUUGUCGCGUUGUUCGUGAAAACUCACAGCUCAACUGUGGGCGUGCGGGCGAUACGGGCAGACUGGAGUACUGCAGGGGAGACUGGAAUUCCUGGUGUAGCGGUGGAAUGCGCAGAUAUCAGGAGGAACACCGGUGGCGAAGGCGGGUCUCGUGGGCAGUAACUGACGCUGAGGAGCGAAAGCGUGGGGAGCGAACAGG